AAAUGUGUCUGGUGGUGGAAUGUGUCAGGUAGCCUGACAAUAGGUGGUGCCCUUGCCAAUGGCAUAGAGUGAUGGUGGCAGCAGUUCUUACUGUGCCCUACCAGAGCAGAGUUGUUUCUCUGUAUAACAGGUGCCAAAGGAUGUUAUUACACAUCACGUGUUCAUUGCUUCCUCAGAGGGAGAUACUGUAUUUGGAGUAUUAUUUUGAUUGAGUGCUCUCGCAGUGCGUGAUGCAGAAGUCACUGUGCCGGCUCUGCUUCAGAGGCUCCCUCAGCAAUGCUCUCUGCCAUGUCAUGAGGAAUGAGGAAGCCUCCCUUGUGCUGAGCCAGAUGUUCUCCUUCAUUGCACAGCAUGAGGAGGUGGAAAGGAGCCAAAAAACUGCGGUAAGAAAGAAAAAAACUCCCAAAAGCCAAUCCAACAAACAACCAAGGAUCAAGAGGAACAGCUGUGUUUCCACCUUUGGAUGGGCAGGAGUUGAACUGUGGCAUCUGGCAGAAGCCAGCUUUAACGUGGGAUUUAUCCUGAAUAAAAUACUUGCAGAAGGAAAAGAAACGUCAUUUGACUCACUGAAGAUUUAAAACCAACAGAGUCAUGUGGGAGAAAAUGAAAUUUUAGUCUCAAGUGGCAGAAUCGAGUCAUAAGAAGUAAAGAGAUUUGGAUGGUUUCUCACUAAAUGGAAAUUAUAUAGAAGGCUUCUAAGACCACUGCAUCUCUCCAUCCCGCUCCUGCUGCACAGAGACUGCACUCU
rnacentral:lncRNA from 1 species